GAAAUGCGAUACGUAGUGUGAAUUGCAGAAUUCAGUGAAUCAUCGAAGUCUUGAACGCAUAUUGCGCUGGUGGUUCCACCCACCAGCAUGCCUGUUCGAGUGUCGAUUACAUCUCAAAAGACACAAACACACUUGUGUGUAUUGUGCUCUAUUGGAUCUGGGUGUCGAAUCAGUCACUUGACUCUCUGUCACCUGAAAAUCAGUGGGAGUUGUAUCGAUCCAUCUUUUGGUCCCAAAUUGGUGUGCUUAACAUACCUAGUAUGAUAUUCACCAGCAGUAAGACCAAAGCUAAAAAGGGAUGAGAUCCAUUUUUUUACUUCUCCAAAAAAAGGAAAAUAAUUAAAUCAUCCAAAACUUCGACCUCGAAUCAGGUAAGAAUACCCGCUGAACUUAA
rnacentral:misc_RNA from 1 species